UUUGAUAGCCCCCUACUCCCGCUAUCCGCCCGGGUACUACGAGCACUAGCUUAAAACCCAAAGGACUUGGCGGUGCUUUAGAUCCACCUAGAGGAGCCUGUUCUAGAACCGAUAACCCCCGUUAAACCUCACCCUCCCUUGUUCUUUCCGCCUAUAUACCGCCGUCGUCAGCUUACCCUGUGAAGGGACCACAGUAAGCAAAACCAGUACAACUCAAAACGCCAGGUCGAGGUGUAGCAUAUGAGAGGGGAAGAAAUGGGCUACAUUCCCUACCACAGGGAAUACGAACAAUGUAAUGAAACGUGCAUUAAAAGGAGGAUUUAGCAGUAAGCAGAAAAUAGAGCG
rnacentral:rRNA from 1 species